GACGAACGCUGGCGGCGUGCUUAACUCAUGCAAGUCGAACGGUAAGGCCCUUCGGGGUACACAAGUGGCGAACGGGUGAGUAACACGUGGGUGAUCUGCCCUGCACUUCGGGAUAAGCCUGGGAAACUGGGUCUAAUACCGGAUAGGACCACUGCCUGCAUGGGUGGUGGUGGAAAGCUUUUGCGGUGUGGGAUGGGCCCGCGGCCUAUCAGCUUGUUGGUGGGGUGAUGGCCUACCAAGGCGACGACGGGUAGCCGGCCUGAGAGGGUGACCGGCCACACUGGGACUGAGAUACGGCCCAGACUCCUACGGGGGGCAGCAGUGGGGAAUAUUGCACAAUGGGCGCAAGCCUGAUGCAGCGACGCCGCGUGAGGGAUGACGGCCUUCGGGUUGUAAACCUCUUUCAGCACCGACGAAGCGCAAGUGACGGUAGGUGCAGAAGAAGGACCGGCCAACUACGUGCCAGCCGCCGCCGUAA
rnacentral:rRNA from 1 species